UCGGGAAUUCCCAUUGAAGAAUUUGCGAAAUUCCAAAUUGCUUUAUUUAGUAUAGCUACACAUGUGUUCUUGGUGACUAUGUGAUUGUGAUAUUAUGGUUGUUAAGGGUGUUUUAUUCUGUUUAUGGUUUGUUUUUUUAGGUUUAACUACUGCAACAUUAGAAAGUUUUCCCAAUUCUACAAGGUCUACCAUCAGAAAGCGGCGGCAAAGCAGUUUGGAAUGUACUCUUCCGCCACAAUUGGAGAAUGGAAGGUGGCUAGUAACUGAAGUAGAUGUUAAACCAGGUGAUAAAGUAGACUUUAACUCAAUAAUAAGAUUAGAAUGUCAUGAAGGUUACCAAUUAUACCCUGAUAUUCGCUUACAAAUUUGUGAUAGCUACUGGAAUGAAAAAAAAUUGCCAACGUGCAAAAAAAAAUGUCCCCCAUUUUAUUCAACGGCAACUACCACGUUAACAUGUAAAGAUAUAAAUAACGAAGCAGUCCCUUGUGAUAAAGCAGUUAAUGGUACCUAUUUAACUUAUAAUUGCAACGAUUAUCAUGAAAUACCACCAGGAGGUAGUAAUAUUCUCUACUGUGACGACGGCGUUUGGGACUUUCCGAAACCUAUAUGUCAACCAAUUUGCGGAAAAAAAGUUAAAGUGGGAGAAGCAACUGCAUUACUUUGGGGUGGCAGACAAGCCAAUGCUUUUGAAUUCCCAUGGGUUAUAGCGGUAUUUAAGAUCUCAGGAACAGGUUACGAGAAUAUAUGUGGGGGCACGCUAAUAAGCAGAAGAGUUGUUAUAACUGCUGCUCACUGUGUUACUGAUACUUAUGGUAAUGCUCUGGAUCAAAACAAAUUUCAAGUUGCUGCUGGAAAAGUUUACAAUGCCUUCGGAGAUAAACGAGAUGUACAUGCACAAUAUAGAAAGAUAUCAAAAGUAAUUGUUAAUGAUGGAUAUAGGGGGGAAACUCAAAAAUACAUUGCUGAUGUGGCUCUACUCAUUACCCAAGAGCUUUUUAAACUUGACCCAAUCGUUCAGCCAAUAUGUAUGGAUAAUAUGGAUAGCGUACAUUUAACUAAUUAUCAAAUAGGGGAGGUAGCUGGUUGGGGCCUUACUGAAGAAGAAGAGCCCUCAGAAAUCCUUAAAGCAAUAAGAAUACCAUACAAAGAUAGUGCCACAUGUGCUAAAGAGCUACCACCAAGUUGGGAGGAAGUGUAUAAUAUUUUUGAUAAAAUUUGUGCUGGUCGUCAGAAUGAAAAUAUUGCGGUCUGUAAAGGAGACAGCGGGAGCGGUCUUGUUUUUAAAAAUCGAGAAGACAAUAGAUACUACCUCCAAGGAAUAGUAAGUAUAGCACCAACUUUACAGAAUUCUCAAUGUAAUUACCAAACGAACGCCUUAUACACCAGUGUCCAAUUCUACUACUCUUUUAUAACAAGAGAAAUGUCUAAAUAUUUCAUAGAGGACUGCAUACUUCCACCCUAUCCAAAAAAUGGAAAAUGGUUUCUAGAAGGUGGCGUAGAAAAAAAGCCCGGUGAUAUUGUAUUGUCCAGCACGAUCUUACGAUUUUCAUGUAAUACGCGAUAUAUAUUGUCCACUAUUUCAGCAUAUAAUGACUGUCACAGUUAUUACAGUCAUCCAACAUGUUUAAGAAUAUGUCCUAAACCUUUAUUACCGAGUGGAACACAAAUGCUCUGUAAAAACUCUAAGGAUCAAUAUAUAGACUGUACAGAUAUUGCUGAUGGUAGCAGUAUAACGUUUACAUGUCCAAACGGUUUUGUAUCCGACAGAGGCACAUCUACUAGUACCAGAUUUUGUCGAAAUGGAGUAUAUGGUAAUUCUGCACCUUCUUGUAUAGAUAUUAAACAAAAGCCAGUGCACGUUUCUAAUACAUCAGACAAAUCUAAGAAAACAACAAAACAUACAACAGCGACAACGGCGACGACUACAAGUAUGAUUACUACACCAAGUUCCUCAAUUACAUUAGAGAAGUCAAUUACAAGUCAACUUAUUAACGAUGGAAAAAAAGUGAUAUGUUAUUAUUCCGGAUGGACGGCAUAUAAUGGCUCAUAUCCAGAAGAAGUUGAGCCUAGAUUGUGCACUCAUCUAGUUUACGAAUAUAUUGGCAUUAGUUAUAACGGAGAGUUGGAUCUGAAGGAAAAAGGACCAGAUUUACUUAAACUGACGAUGGAUUUAAAAAAUAAAAACAAAGAUUUAAAAGUGAUGAUCAGCGUUGGUGGUAGCAGAUUUAGUUAUUUACAGUUCGAAAGGCUCUCCAUAGAUAGUGAAAGAAAAUCAUCUUUUCUGGAUAGUACCGUAAAAAUGAUACAAACCUACAGUUUUGAUGGAUUGGAUUUUUCCUGGAUGUUCCCAGAACCCAGUGACAAGGAUAGAUAUAUUAGCCUGUUGGACCAAAUUAAACGUAUUUUUAAAAAUCAUGGAUGGCUACUGAGUGUCACUGUAUAUCCUAAAUUGGAAGACACUGGAUACGAUCCUCUAGAAAUGGAUAGGGCCUCGUCUAACGAAUCUAACUGAAAGUGCCACAGGUGUUCGCAGUAAGGAUUGUUAAGACCAGUACAAAAGGUUUUUAGUGCUAAUUUUCUAAACAUAGUAGACUGGGUAACUAUUAAGACCCUUGAUGCAUAUAAUACUUUG
rnacentral:misc_RNA from 1 species